UACGUAGGGUGCAAGCGUUAAUCGGAAUUACUGGGCGUAAAGCGUGCGCAGGCGGUUCGUUGUGUCCGUCGUGAAAGCCCCGGGCUUAACCUGGGAAUGGCAUUGGAAACUGGCGGGCUUGAGUGCGGCAGAGGGGGGUGGAAUUCCGCGUGUAGCAGUGAAAUGCGUAGAGAUGCGGAGGAACACCGAUGGCGAAGGCAGCCCCCCUGGGUCGACACUGACGCUCAGGCACGAAAGCGUGGGGAGCAAACAGG
rnacentral:rRNA from 1 species